GACGAACGCUGGCGGCGUGCUUAACACAUGCGAGUCGAACGGAAAGGCCCCUUUGGGGGUACUCGAGUGGCGAACGGGCGGGUGACUCGUGCGUAACUAGCCUUCGCCUUCGGGUUAACUACCGGAAACUAGGUCUAAUAACGGCUAGGAAUCAUCGCCGCCUGGAGGGGGUUGGAAAGCUUCGGUGGGUUGGGGUGGACUCACGGCUUAUUGGUUUGUUGGUGGGGUAGUGGCUUACCCAGGCCUUCUUGGGCGGGCGGCCUGGGGGGGGGACCGGCCACCUUGGGACUGGGAUUCGGGCCAGACUCCUACGGGGGGCAGCAGGGGGGAAAUUUGCCCCAUGGGCGGGAACCCGAUGCAGCAACGCCGGGGGCGGGAUGACGGGCUUCGGGUUGUAAACCGCGUUCAGCAUGGGCCAAGCUUGUGGUGACGGUACCUGCAGAAGAAGCACCGGCUAACUACGUG
rnacentral:rRNA from 1 species